UUGCUUGCAGGUAAAAGCUAAGAGACACACCUUAAUUCUUAUUGCACUGAAACCCUUUGUUGGAUACAAAAGGUACGUUUUAAAAACAGAGGCAAGCUUUGCUGAGAAGAUACCGGGUGAUUUAUAAAUUACUCACAACAUAAGGAAUCAUUAAAAUGGCACAAAGGAGUGAGUUCCAUGCACACUGUUCACAGAACGAAGAACUCAGAGCAGAAAGGGGCUGCCACUAAAGAGACUGACAGCCAAGAAAGCCUGGCAGUAUGUAUCACUCAAAACCUCUCCUGGCAAUGCUGAAAUUCUAUUUUGACCACUGGAUAGAAGAAGUUAUUUCUUGAAACUGCAAAAUAGGCAUGUUUUAUUACAGACCAAAAUAUCUCUUGCUGAGUCAAUUUUAUUAUUAUAACAGAAGAUAAUUUGAUCUACAAAAGCUGAUAAAAUCCCUCAAACAACAAUAAUAGCCCCAGCAGAAGUGAAAACAAAAUUACCUGCUAUUGCACUGCAUCUUUCUGUGCCAUAUCU
rnacentral:lncRNA from 1 species